CGUCUUUUGCUCAUUUGUCUGCGUUGAUACCGAAGAUGCGCACCUUGUGCAUGUUGGGGAACUUAGCAAUCACCAGCACCAUUACGGCAAUUGUGUUCAAGAAUAGCAUCGGGUGCUGGUAGUCCGUGGUGUGUGACGCUAUCAAGUACAGCACAACAGGUACAACAGUCAAAAACUUGCGAUUGCGCGUCAGUUGCUUGCCACUGUCCAUCUGCUCCCACCAUGUCAACGUAUUGUAGAUACCCUGGUCCUCGGCAAAGGGAGUUCCUUUCUUCCAAUGGAAG
rnacentral:misc_RNA from 1 species